rnacentral:ncRNA from 1 species
UAAAAGUUAAGUAUAAUAUUUUUUUGCAUGUAAAUUUUUGUUAGUUUUUUAUUCUAAAAGGAUAAAUAUUUAUAUUUUCAGUAUUUAAUUUUUAUUUAAAUAAUUAAUUUUAUUUGAUAAAAUAUUUUAUUUCAGAAUAAUGUUAUGCCAGCAUUCGCGGUUAUAUUUCAUGAAAAACUUAACUUUUUUUGGAAUUUAGAUUUAUUAUAUUAAAAUUUAUUUAAUUUAGGUGAAAUUUAUUAAUUAAUUUUAUUUAAAAUUUUCUAUUUAAGCUAUUUUUUAAACUAGGAUUAGAUACCCUAUUAUUUUAGAAAAAAUUUAUUUUUCCGGUUAGUAAAUUUAAAAUUUGAAAUUCAUUAAAUCUGGCGGUUUUUAAAUCUUUUUAGAGGAACCUGUAAUUUAAAUGAUAAUCCACGAUAAAUUUUACCUUUAUUUUCUUGUAUAUCUCUGUCGUUGAAUGUAGUGAAAACUUUAUUUUCUUAUUAUUUAAUUUAUAAUUAUGUUAGGUCAAGGUGCAGUUAUAUAAAGGUUAUUAUGGGUUACAUUAAUAUUUAUUAUUAGUUGGAUAAAUAAUUUUAUUUUAUUUUGAAUUUGGAUUUAAAAGUAAUUUUUUUUAUUUAAAUAGUUGAAUUUUAAGCUCUUAAUUAUGUACAUAUCGCCCGUCAUUCUCAUAAAUUGAGACAAGUCGUAACAAAGUAGAUGUAUCGGAAGAUGUUUCUAGAAU